rnacentral:rRNA from 1 species
GAUGAACGCUGGCGGCGUGCCUAAUACAUGCAAGUCGAGCGAACAGACGAGGAGCUUGCUCCUCUGACGUUAGCGGCGGACGGGUGAGUAACACGUGGAUAACCUACCUAUAAGGCUGGGAUAACUUCGGGAAACCGGAGCUAAUACCGGAUAAUAUAUUGAACCGCAUGGUUCAAUAGUGAAAGACGGUUUUGCUGUCACUUAUCGAUGGAUCCGCGCCGCAUUAGCUAGUUGGUAAGGUAACGGCUUACCAAGGCAACGAUGCGUAGCCGACCUGAGAGGGUGAUCGGCCACACUGGAACUGAGACACGGUCCAGACUCCUACGGGAGGCAGCAGUAGGGAAUCUUCCGCAAUGGGCGAAAGCCUGACGGAGCAACGCCGCGUGAGUGAUGAAGGUCUUCGGAUCGUAAAACUCUGUUAUUAGGGAAGAACAAAUGUGUAAGUAACUAUGCACGUCUUGACGGUACCUAAUCAGAAAGCCACGGCUAACUACGUG